AAUAAGCGCAUUGGAUGCGCAGACGCUGUGGAAGCCGUGAUAAAAGGCCUCAAACUGCUUGUAGAUAGAGGAGUUCAGGAGGUAAUCCACGUACAGCUGCACGUACUCUGCGCAUAACCCAAGACAAGACGAGAACAUCAUUAGGUGUAUUAUACAACUAAAGUACUGCUAUGCGCACCCAUAUUGGUUUAAACCCAGUAAGACCCCCUCAGAACGCAACACUUCUAAAAACAAUGUAUUUUAAAUAUCCUACUAUCCUCGUUUGUUUGGCUCAUGAGGGAACUUGUGAAUUCUUGAUUUUGUUUUCAUCUAUAGAAAAAAUUAUCGGGUCCAUAAGUUCCUGGCCCAAGCACUCUGCCAAUAAGAGCUUUACACAAUAUGCGUUUAUAAGGUACCCUACUAGGUUGCCAAAAAUACAGCGACUGGAUAAUAACGAGGUCAAAGAGAUGAGAACAUAGUCAGAUAAGGGGACAAGGUUGUCCUGGAGUCGUGAGUAUCCAUUACCUUGUCUAUUGGUGUUAGUGACGGUAAUGGUGUCUCCCUUGGGCGUGGCCAUUUCAUACCUUGUCUAUUGGUGUUAGUGACGGGAAUGGUGUAUCCCUUGGGCGUGGCCAUUACGUACCUUGUCUAUUGGUGUUAGUGACGAGAAUGGUGUCUCCCUUGGGCAUGGCCAUUUCAUACCUUGUCUAUUGGUGUUAGUGACGGGAAUGGUGUCUCCCUUGGGCGUGGCCAUUUCAUACCUUGUCUAUUGGUGUUAGUGACGGGAAUGGUGUCUACCUUGGGCUUGGCCAUUUCAUACCUUGUCUAUUGGUGUUAGUGACGGGAAUGGUGUCUACCUUGGGCGUGGCCAUUUCAUACCUUGUCUAUUGGUGUUAGUGACGGCAAUGGUGUCUUCCUUGGGCUUGGUCAUUUCAUACCUUGUCUAUUGGUGUUAGUGACGGGAAUGGUGUAUCCCUUGGGCGUGGCCAUUUCAUACCUUGUCUAUUGGUGUUAGUGACGGGAAUGGUGUCUCCCUUGGGCGUGGCCAUUUCAUACCUUGUCUAUUGGUGUUAGUGACGGGAAUGGUGUAUCCCUUGGGCGUGGCCAUUACGUACCUUGUCUAUUGGUGUUAGUGACGAGAAUGGUGUCUCCCUUGGGCAUGGCCAUUUCAUACCUUGUUUAUUGGUGUUAGUGACGGGAAUGGUGUCUCCCUUGGGCGUGGCCAUUUCAUACCUUGUCUAUUGGUGUUAGUGACGGGAAUGGUGUAUCCCUUGGGCGUGGCCAUUACGUACCUUGUCUAUUGGUGUUAGUGACGAGAAUGGUGUCUCCCUUGGGCAUGGCCAUUUCAUACCUUGUCUAUUGGUGUUAGUGACGGGAAUGGUGUCUCCCUUGGGCGUGGCCAUUUCAUACCUUGUCUAUUGGUGUUAGUGACGGGAAUGGUGUCUCCCUUGGGCGUGGCCAUUUCAUACCUUGUCUAUUGGUGUUAGUGACGGGAAUGGUGUAUCCCUUGGGCGUGGCCAUUACGUACCUUGUCUAUUGGUGUUAGUGACGAGAAUGGUGUCUCCCUUGGGCAUGGCCAUUUCAUACCUUGUCUAUUGGUGUUAGUGACGGGAAUGAUGUCUCCCUUGGGCUUGGCCAUUUCAUACCUUGUCUAUUGGUGUUAGUGACGGGAAUGGUGUCUCCCUUGGGCGUGGUCAUUUCAUACCUUGUCUAUUGGUGUUAGUGACGGGAAUGGUGUCUACCUUGGGCGUGGCCAUUUCAUACCUUGUCUAUUGGUGUUAGUGACGGCAAUGGUGUCUUCCUUGGGCUUGGCCAUUUCAUACCUUGGCUAUUGGUGUUAGUGACGGGAAUGGUGUCUACCUUGGGCGUGGCCAUUUCAUACCUUGUCUAUUGGUGUUAGUGACGGGAAUGGUGUCUCCCUUGGGCGUGGCCAUUUCAUACCUUGGCUAUUGGUGUUAGUGACGGGAAUGGUGUCUACCUUGGGCGUGGCCAUUUCAUACCUUGUCUAUUGGUGUUAGUGACGGCAAUGGUGUCUUCCUUGGGCUUGGCCAUUUCAUACCUUGUCUAUUGGUGUUAGUGACGGGAAUGGUGUAUCCCUUGGGCGUGGCCAUUUCAUACCUUGUCUAUUGGUGUUAGUGACGGGAAUGGUGUCUCCCUUGGGCGUGGCCAUUACGUACCUUGUCUAUUGGUGUUAGUGACGGCAAUGGUGUCUCCCUUGGGCGUGGCCAUUUCAUACCUUGUCUAUUGGUGUUUGUGACGGGAAUGGUGUCUCCCUUGGGCUUGGUCAUUUCAUACCUUGUCUAUUGGUGUUAGUGACGGGAAUGGUGUCUCCCUUGGGCUUGGCCAUUUCAUACCUUGUCUAUUGGUGUUUGUGAUGAGAAUGGUGUAUCCCUUGGGCUUGGCCAUUUCAUACCUUGUCUAUUGGUGUUAGUGACGGGAAUGGUGUCUCUCUUGGGCGUGGCCAUUUCAUACCUUGUCUAUUGGUGUUAGUGACGGGAAUGGUGUCUCCCUUGGGCUUGGCCAUUACGUACCUUGUCUAUUAGUGUUUGUGACUGGAAUGGUGUCUCCCUUGGGGUUGGCCAUUACGUACCUUGUCUACUGGUGUUAGUGACGGGAAUGGUGUCUCCCUUGGGCUUGGCCAUUUCAUACCUUGUCUAUUGGUGUUAGUGACGGGAAUGGUGUCUCCCUUGGGCAUGGCCAUUUCAUACCUUGUCUAUUGGUGUUAGUGACGGGAAUGGUGUCUCCCUUGGGCGUGGCCAUUUCAUACCUUGUCUAUUGGUGUUAGUGACGGGAAUGGUGUAUCCCUUGGGCGUGGCCAUUACGUACCUUGUCUAUUGGUGUUAGUGACGAGAAUGGUGUCUCCCUUGGGCAUGGCCAUUUCAUACCUUGUCUAUUGGUGUUAGUGACGGGAAUGGUGUCUCCCUUGGGCGUGGCCAUUUCAUACCUUGUCUAUUGGUGUUAGUGACGGGAAUGGUGUCUCCCUUGGGCGUGGCCAUUUCAUACCUUGUCUAUUGGUGUUAGUGACGGGAAUGGUGUAUCCCUUGGGCGUGGCCAUUACGUACCUUGUCUAUUGGUGUUAGUGACGAGAAUGGUGUCUCCCUUGGGCGUGGCCAUUUCAUACCUUGUCUAUUGGUGUUAGUGACGGGAAUGGUGUCUCCCUUGGGCGUGGCCAUUUCAUACCUUGUCUAUUGGUGUUAGUGACGGGAAUGGUGUCUCCCUUGGGCGUGGCCAUUUCAUACCUUGUCUAUUGGUGUUAGUGACGGGAAUGGUGUCUACCUUGGGCGUGGCCAUUUCAUACCUUGUCUAUUGGUGUUAGUGACGGCAAUGGUGUCUUCCUUGGGCUUGGCCAUUUCAUACCUUGGCUAUUGGUGUUAGUGACGGGAAUGGUGUCUACCUUGGGCGUGGCCAUUUCAUACCUUGUCUAUUGGUGUUAGUGACGGGAAUGGUGUCUACCUUGGGCGUGGCCAUUUCAUACCUUGUCUAUUGGUGUUAGUGACGGCAAUGGUGUCUUCCUUGGGCUUGGCCAUUUCAUACCUUGUCUAUUGGUGUUAGUGACGGGAAUGGUGUAUCCCUUGGGCGUGGCCAUUUCAUACCUUGUCUAUUGGUGUUAGUGACGGGAAUGGUGUCUCCCUUGGGCGUGGCCAUUACGUACCUUGUCUAUUGGUGUUAGUGACGGCAAUGGUGUCUCCCUUGGGCGUGGCCAUUACGUACCUUGUCUAUUGGUGUUAGUGACGGCAAUGGUGUCUCCCUUGGGCGUGGCCAUUUCAUACCUUGUCUAUUGGUGUUAGUGACGGGAAUGGUGUCUCCCUUGGGCUUGGUCAUUUCAUACCUUGUCUAUUGGUGUUAGUGACGGGAAUGGUGUCUCCCUUGGGCUUGGCCAUUUCAUACCUUGUCUAUUGGUGUUUGUGAUGAGAAUGGUGUAUCCCUUGGGCUUGGCCAUUUCAUACCUUGUCUAUUGGUGUUAGUGACGGGAAUGGUGUCUCUCUUGGGCGUGGCCAUUUCAUACCUUGUCUAUUGCUGUUAGUGACGGGAAUGGUGUUUCCCUUGGGCUUGGCCAUUUCAUACCUUGUCUAUUGGUGUUAGUGACGGGAAUGGUGUCUCCCUUGGGCUUGGCCAUUACGUACCUUGUCUAUUAGUGUUUGUGACUGGAAUGGUGUCUCCCUUGGGGUUGGCCAUUACGUACCUUGUCUACUGGUGUUAGUGACGGGAAUGGUGUCUCCCUUGGGCUUGGCCAUUUCAUACCUUGUCUAUUGGUGUUAGUGACGGGAAUGGUGUCUCCCUUGGGCUUGGCCAUUUCAUACCUUGUCUAUUGGUGUUAGUGACGGGAAUGGUGUCUCCCUUGGGCUUGGCCCUUUCAUACCUUGUCUAUUGGUGUUAGUGACGGGAAUGGUGUCUCCCUUGGGCUUGAGAUUGUGCGUUACCACUUCUCCGUAGGACGUGAAGGACACUUGGAAUGUCUGACAUAAAUCAUUCUCUACAUCGCCUUCAUAGCUCAGCAGCUCUUUGAGGCCCCGUGCAAGCUCCUAAAGGGGGUUCACAGUUAUUUGUUAGCCUUAUAAUCCAGCAUCAUCAUGUCAUCAUGAUCAUCAUCACUAUGCUAUGUUGAUAAAUCGACCAUGAGAAUUUUUUUUCUUUUUUUAACGGCAGAAACCGAUCAGAUAGUGUUGGUAGGUGUGUGUAUAGGUGUUAUGUGCCAUUACUUUCGAAAUUUGGUGUUGCCCCCCCCUGACAAUGGCCGAAAAACCUCCAUGAUUAAUCAACAAGCCAUAACUCCCCCCUGAAACCGGGGGGAUCUCAAAUUUUGACAAAAAGUAGCUCUGGCCUUACAAAACUAUGGUGCCAAGUUUCAUUGAAUUUGAACACUCUCAUAUGAGAAUAUUGAUGAUGUUGUAUAAGACCCUAUAGGAAGUGUAUACCUCAGCUAGACUUGGCUUUUUUGUAAAAAAGCAAAUUUUCGAAAAAAGAACACUUGAUUUAUGGUUGAAGAUGUAAAGCUAUAGCAACCAAGUUUGGAGGGUGGUUAUAACUUGCAAAGAUCUCUAUGUGCUGUGAAGCACAAUUGUUGCGGUGCGCAUGCGAUAGCAUUUCGCUAUUCAAGUCGAAUUAUCAACACACACAAAAUGUUAUUUUUUACAAGAAAAACUUGUUAUUUAUGGACGAUUUUAUCCUUAAGAAUAAAGAAUGAACCACCCUACCAGAUACCGUUCAAAUUAGAUCAUUAUCGUCUUUAGUUUUUCAGAUGAUUUUCGUGGAUCACAUGCUAAUGUUGAUAAAUCGACUUGACGCUUCAACCAAUAAACUUAGUUAAGUUACAAGGUGUGUAUCAGUGCUAGGUCUUUAAAGGUUAUUCCCCAACCUGACAGCUAACCUCAAUUUAAAACAUUUUGGGUUUCAACGACUUUCAACGACAUUAUUAGCUGAAAAUUGUGACUUUGUAACUAUUUAAUAUCCGUUUUACAAAACCAUCAAUACGUGACCGAAUUCUUUGACAACUAUAACUGCAGUAAAAAGAUAUGUGUCUAGUGACGGCCUGUUAAGAGCCUGAAGGUCUUGGGACAGGACGGUACAUUACACAUCCAUACAUGCAUAAAUACAUAGAAUCGUGUCAUUUAAAAGUGCCUUAGUACUCUUUCUGUUGAUUUUAAAAUUAUCACUAUCUUGUUAUCACGGGCGAGGCCGGAGGUGUUUGUCCCGCGCUACCCACUUUUUACAAUUCAUGAACACCGUGUUCCUUUCUGUUUCUUGUUUGUUUGUUUGUUUAUUAUUAUUUUACACAGAACAAGAGUAACAGAAAUAUUAGUAAUAAGGAAUUAACAUAUAUAACAAA